rnacentral:rRNA from 1 species
GGUGAACGCUGGCGGCGUGCCUAACGUAUGCAAGUCGAGCGGAAGCACUUCGGGUGUCGAGCGGCGAACGGGUGAGUAACACGUUGGAACCUGUCCUAAAGCGGGGAAUAGCUCCGGGAAACCGGAAUUAAUGCCCCAUAUGCCUUCGGGUGAAAGAUUUAUCACUUUAGGAGGGUCCUGCGGUUGAUUAGCUUGUUGGUAGGGUAACGGCCUACCAAGGCGAUGAUCAAUAGCUGGUCUGAGAGGAUGUCCAGCCACACUGGAACUGAGACACGGUCCAGACUCCUACGGGAGGCAGCAACGAGGAAUAGUGCGCAAUGGGCGAAAGCCUGACGCUGCGACGCCGCGUGCAGGAUGACGGCCUUCGGGUUGUAAACUGCUUUUAUAUGGGAAGAUUAUGACGGUACCAUAUGAAUAAGAGUAGGCUAACUCCGUGCCAGCAGCCGCGGUAAAAC